GGCGCAUCGGGCCGUUCGAGGAAGGCAGACUGUGAAAGGACUUGGGGCAAAGAUGAGGCGGAGUAGAGGCGGCCUGAGCAGAGCAGAACAACUUUGAUAUUUAGUUUUAUUUAACUCGCAGUCCUCUCCUUGCUCCCCUUCCCCAAAACAACUUUCUCUUCCGGGGUCAGACAGGACCGCCCCGAAGCGUACCUUACGCGCCGGGGGCGCCAGGCGCUACGGGAUUCGGUGUAGUUUUGAGGCGUUUGCACCGCCCUCGCAGCUGCUUUCGUGGCUGCCCGUGUGCCCGCUGCUCACGGCUGCCCCAGAAGUGUGAGCGAGCCGCGCCCGGCCCCUGCCCUGCCCUCUGGUCCUCGGGCACCGCCUGCAGGCUUUGUAACUUCGGAGCACAUCCCCGGUGAUCAUGGUUUAUGCAGUGAGUGACAGUAAAUCCUCCUCCCUGUGCCACCAAAGGCAUAGGAGUCUGAGAGUCUGCAAGAUUCUCAUAGAUGUGGUUGCACCCGGCCAGGAGCCCAACUGCAGAAAUAAGCAGGCAAAAGCGAGUUUCUGAGCCAGUUCCAGCCCGGCCCAGAUGUUGGCCCCUGACAACUAGCUGGGGCUCGUGCGGAGGGAGGAGCGAGGGAAGACGGACAGAUCGAGGCUGCCAGAAACACAUAUGAAGCUCAUUUCUGCCACCCUUCCUAGAAAACUGGUUCCUGACAGGGACAUGUUGAAAGAUUGGAUAAUAUAUACUGUUCCAGCUUCAAGUUUACUGGUUCUUCUGUCAUCUUCAAAUUGCUGCUAAGCCCAUCAGAAAUGCAA